CUUCACUACCCAGCUCUCAUUCCCAGCCCUGGACAAGCCAGUUUGUUCUGGGGGGGAAGAGGGGACUGGUAAUGGAGUGCGGAUUGGGCCCACAGGAGGCCUGCUCACGAUUGAUUUUCUGACUCUAAAAAGAAGAGAGGGACCAAGAAAUUGAGCUUGUGAAUAUGAAUAUGAAUAUUGGCCACAUCUGAGAUACCCAAAACAUUCAAGAUCAAAACGUGUCUGUGAAGCAUUACUUGGAAGACAAAUCAAAUAUAUGAGAGCAGCCACAGAGACUCCCAGAAGCUGUGAGCUACAGCAGAACCCAAGGACUUUUGCAUUUCCACAGCAAAUGACACUCCAGCCUGGACUCCCGGGGAUUUGGGGGGGAUGGGGUGAUGCACUGCUUUCUCUGUGAAUCUCUACUGCCUACUAGUCCAUGCCUCUGUAUCUCUGUCUCUUUGUAAGUAAUUUUGGGGGGUGUGUGUGUGGGGGGGCUGUUUUGUGUUUACAACAGUCUUAAUGUCUGUAUUGGAACAGUUCAGUAAAAGUAAAGUUUCCUCAGGUUCCAUUUCCUUAAUCCUGUGUUUUUAACUGUAAUGGUCACAAACUCACAAAUGGUAAACUAUACAAAAUAUGAUGCUCGAGUCAGUAGUCACUUGUGUCUUGCCAAAACUUGGAGAAAAAAAAAUAAGGUAGCAUUU